rnacentral:rRNA from 1 species
GAUGAACGCUGGCGGCGUGCUUAACACAUGCAAGUCGAACGAUGAAGCCCAGCUUGCUGGGUGGAUUAGUGGCGAACGGGUGAGUAACACGUGAGUAACCUGCCCUUAACUCUGGGAUAAGCCUGGGAAACUGGGUCUAAUACCGGAUAGGAGCGUCCACCGCAUGGUGGGUGUUGGAAAGAUUUAUCGGUUUUGGAUGGACUCGCGGCCUAUCAGCUUGUUGGUGAGGUAAUGGCUCACCAAGGCGACGACGGGUAGCCGGCCUGAGAGGGUGACCGGCCACACUAGGACUGAGACACGGCCCAGACUCCGACGGGAGGCAGCAGUGGGGAAUAUUGCACAAUGGGCGCAAGCCUGAUGCAGCGACGCCGCGUGAGGGAUGACGGCCUUCGGGUUGUAAACCUCUUUCAGUAGGGAAGAAGCGAAAGUGACGGUACCUGCCGAAGAAGCACCGGCUAACUACGUG